AGCUCCAAUGCUAAAGUUGUUGCGGUUAAAAAGCUCGUAGGUGGAUUUCUGGGAUUGACGACCGGUCCACCCAUUAGGUGAGAACAUGGGCUCGGCUUGACCAUUUUCUUGGAGAACGCUGCUGCGCUUUAAUGUGUGGGGUGGUAUCCAAAACUUUUACUUUGAGGAAAUUAGAGUGUUUCAAGCAGGCGCACGCCCUGAACACAUUAGCAUGGAAUAAUGAGAUAGGACCUUGGCUCUAUUUUGUUGGUUUCUAGAGCUGAGGUAAUGAUUGAUAGGGAUAGUCGGGGGCAUUCGUUUUUAACUGUCAGAGCUGAAAUUCUUGGAUUUGUUGGACGGACAACUGCGAAAGCAUUUGCCAAGGAUGUUUUCA
rnacentral:rRNA from 1 species